GUCGACAGCCAUGCCACCCUGGACGUGCCCAAUCCCGUCUGAUCUCAGAACCUAAGUAGGAUCAGGCCUGGUUAGUACUUGGAUGGGAGACCACCUAGGAAGACCAGGUGCUGUAGGCA
rnacentral:rRNA from 1 species